UACGGAGGGUGCAAGCGUUGCUCGGAAUUAUUGGGCGUAAAGGGCAGGUAGGUGGUCUCAUUUGUCUGGGGUGAAAGCCUUGGGCUUAACUCAAGAAGUGCCCCAGAAACGGUGAGACUGGAGUCCUGGAGAGGGUCGUGGAAUUCCCGGUGUAGCGGUGAAAUGCGUAGAGAUCGGGAGGAACACCAGAGGCGAAAGCGGCGACCUGGACAGGCACUGACACUCAACUGCGAAAGCGUGGGGAGCAAACGGG
rnacentral:rRNA from 1 species